rnacentral:rRNA from 1 species
UACGUAGGGUGCAAGCGUUGUCCGGAAUUAUUGGGCGUAAAGAGCUCGUAGGCGGUCUGUCGCGUCUGCUGUGAAAACCUAGGGCUUAACUCUGGGCGUGCAGUGGGUACGGGCAGGCUAGAGUGCGGUAGGGGAGACUGGAAUCCUGGUGUAGCGGUGAAAUGCGCAGAUAUCAGGAGGAACACCGAUGGCGAAGGCAGGUCUCUGGGCAUUAACUGACGCUGAGGAGCGAAAGCGUGGGGAGCGAACAGG